rnacentral:rRNA from 1 species
GAUGAACGCUAGCGAUAGGCUUAACACAUGCAAGUCGAGGGGCAGCACGGUGUAGCAAUACAUUGGUGGCGAUCGGUGUACGGGUGCGUAACACGUAUGCAACCUACCCGCUAUUGGGGGAUAACCCGGCGAAAGUCGGACUAAUAUCCCAUAUUAUUCUUACCGGGCAUCCGGUGAGUCUGAAAGAUUUAUCGAUUGCGGAUGGGCAUGCGGAUGAUUAGCUAGUAGGUGGGGUAACGGCUCACCUAGGCGACGAUCAUUAGGGGUUCUGAGAGGAAGGUCCCCCACACUGGAACUGAGACACGGUCCAGACUCCUACGGGAGGCAGCAGUGAGGAAUAUUGGUCAAUGGGCGCUAGCCUGAACCAGCCAAGUCGCGUGAAGGAUGGCAGAUCUAUGGUUUUGUAAACUUCUUUUGCAGGGGAGUAAAGUGCGACACGUGUGUUGUAUUGCAAGUACCCUGCGAAUAAGCAUCGGCUAACUCCGUGCC